UACGGGGGGGGCAAGCGUUGUUCGGAAUUACUGGGCGUAAAGGGCUCGUAGGCGGCCAACUAAGUCAGACGUGAAAUCCCUCGGCUUAACCGGGGAACUGCGUCUGAUACUGGAUGGCUUGAGUUUGGGAGAGGGAUGCGGAAUUCCAGGUGUAGCGGUGAAAUGCGUAGAUAUCUGGAGGAACACCGGUGGCGAAGGCGGCCAACUGGACAGAUACUGACGCUGAGACACGAAAGCGUGGGGAGCAAACAGG
rnacentral:rRNA from 1 species